rnacentral:snRNA from 1 species
CUGAUUCAAAAAUAAUGGGCCU